rnacentral:rRNA from 1 species
GAUGAACGCUGGCGGCGUGCCUAAUACAUGCAAGUCGAGCGAACGGACGAGAAGCUUGCUUCUCUGAUGUUAGCGGCGGACGGGUGAGUAACACGUGGAUAACCUACCUAUAAGACUGGGAUAACUUCGGGAAACCGGAGCUAAUACCGGAUAAUAUUUUGAACCGCAUGGUUCAAAAGUGAAAGACGGUCUUGCUGUCACUUAUAGAUGGAUCCGCGCUGCAUUAGCUAGUUGGUAAGUUAACGGCUUAGCAAGGCAACGAUGCAUAGCCGACCUGAGAGGGUGAUCGGCCACACUGGAAGUGAGACACGGUCCAGACUCCUAAGGGAGGCAGCAGUAGGGAAUCUUCCGCAAUGGGCGAGAGCCUGACGGAGCAGCGCCGCGUGAGUGAUGAAGGUCUUCGGAUCGUAAAACUCUGUUAUUAGGGAAGAACAUAUGUGUAAGUAACUGUGCACAGCUUGACGGUAACUAAUCAGAAAGCCACGGCUAACUACGUG